rnacentral:rRNA from 1 species
UAACUGGGCGUUAAGUUGCAGGGUAUAGACCCGAAACCCGGUGAUCUAGCCAUGGGCAGGUUGAAGGUUGGGUAACACUAACUGGAGGACCGAACCGACUAAUGUUGAAAAAUUAGCGGAUGACUUGUGGCUGGGGGUGAAAGGCCAAUCAAACCGGGAGAUAGCUGGUUCUCCCCGAAAGCUAUUUAGGUAGCGCCUCGUGAAUUCAUCUUCGGGGGUAGAGCACUGUUUCGGCUAGGGGGUCAUCCCGACUUACCAACCCGAUGCAAACUACGAAUACCGAAGAAUGUUAUCACGGGAGACACACGGCGGGUGCUAACGUCCGUCGUGAAGAGGGAAACAACCCAGACCGCCAGCUAAGGUCCCAAAGUCAUGGUUAAGUGGGAAACGAUGUGGGAAGGCACAGACAGCCAGGAUGUUGGCUUAGAAGCAGCCAUCAUUUAAAGAAAGCGUAAUAGCUCACUGGUCGAGUCGGCCUGCGCGGAAGAUGUAACGGGGCUAAACCAUGCACCGAAGCUGCGGCAGCGACACUAUGUGUUGUUGGGUAGGGGAGCGUUCUGUAAGCCUGCGAAGGUGUGCUGUGAGGCAUGCUGGAGGUAUCAGAAGUGCGAAUGCUGACAUAAGUAACGAUAAAGCGGGUGAAAAGCCCGCUCGCCGGAAGACCAAGGGUUCCUGUCCAACGUUAAUCGGGGCAGGGUGAGUCGACCCCUAAGGCGAGGCCGAAAGGCGUAGUCGAUGGGAAACAGGUUAAUAUUCCUGUACUUGGUGUUACUGCGAAGGGGGGACGGAGAAGGCUAUGUUAGCCGGGCGACGGUUGUC